UAGGAUUGCUUCUGAAAAGUGAUUCUGUGCCCAAAACUAAUUUUAGGCUCAGUAGAGUGUUUGACAACAAGUGCUGAAAAUUUUGAUUUUGCUUCCCAGAAUCAGAAAACUGAUUUUAAAGGCUUCAGAAUCAGAAACAGAAAAAACCUACUUCUAGAAAUCUGAUUCUGAUUUUAGAGUCAAACUUUAAAAUUUUAUUUUAAUUUUAAAUUCAAAGUUUAAAUUUAAAUUUCAUUAUAAUUUUUAAAUUUUAAGUUCAUUUUUGAAUUUUUAAAUUUCAAAAUUUCAAAUCUAAAUAUUAAAAUUUAGAUUUUAAACUAAUUAAAUUUUAAAUUCAUAUUUGAAUUUUUUAAAUUUCAACUUUUCAAAUCUAAAUAUUAAAAUUUAGAUUUUAAACUUUAAAUUUUAUAUUUUAUAUUUUAAAUUUAAAUUUCAAAUCUUACAUUUUAAAUUUUAAAAUUUUAAAUUUUAAAUUUCAAAUUUAAGAUAAAAUUUAAAAAGUUGACAUUUUAGAUUUUAAAUUUUAAAUUCAAAAAUUUAAAAUUUAAAAUUUAAAAUUUAAAAUUUUAAAAUUACAAGCUUUAGUCUUAAAAUUAUAAAUUUCAAAAUUUUAAAUUAAUAAAAAUAAAAUUUUAAAUUUCUAAAAUUGAAAUUUUAAAAUUUCAAAAUAAAAGUUUCAAAUUUUUAAAUUUAAAUUUUAAAUAUUCAAUUUUUAAAUUUUAAAUUUCAAAUUUCAAAAUUUAAAUUUAAAAUUUAAAGUUAAAUUUUUGAAUAUUUAAAAUUUGAAUAUUAAAUUUGAAUUUCAAAUUUAUAUUUUUAAAUUUUAAAUUUCAUAAUUAUUUUAAUUUUUAAAUUUAUAGAAUUUUAAAUUAUUUUUUAAAUUGAAAUAUAAAAUUUUAAAUUUUGUACAAUUUUGAAAUUUAAAAAUUUUAAUUUUAAUUCAAGUUCGAAUUUAAAUUUAAAUUUAAAUUUAUUUUAAAAUAAAAUUUAAUAAAAAUAUUAAUUUAAAUAAAUAUCAAAAAAAUUUUGCCAAACAGUUUUACAAAAUCAUUUUAGAAAAAUAGCACUUGUGUAAAAUCACCCAAACGCUUUACAGCUUUUAACCAAAACUACUUUUUCAGACCAAAAUCAAUUCUGCAGAAAUUACUUUUCUAGAAUCUUAGCCCAAAUGGGCCCUUAGUCGUUGGAUUAAAUUUUUUUUUUUUUUCCUGUUAUGAUAAAUAGUGCUGAAGCACAACUCUUUAUCUUAUUCAUCAAACAUAAC
rnacentral:lncRNA from 1 species